rnacentral:sRNA from 1 species
GUGGGGUACAGUGGUGUGUGCCUGUAAUCCCAGCAACUUCAGAGGCUGAGGCAGGAGGACUGCAAGUUUGAGGCCAGCCUCAGCAACUUAGCAAGAUCCUGUCUCAA